GAGGGAUAUUGCACAAUGGGCGAAAGCCUGAUGCAGCAACGCCGCGUGAGGGAUGACGGUCUUCGGAUUGUAAACCUCUGUCCUCAGUGAAGAAAAAAAUGACGGUAGCUGAGGAGGAAGCCACGGCUAACUACGUGCCAGCAGCCGCGGUAAUACGUAGGUGGCAAGCGUUGUCCGGAAUUACUGGGUGUAAAGGGAGCGCAGGCGGGCGUGCAAGUCAGCUGUGAAAUCCAUGGGCUUAACCCGUGGGCUGCAGUUGAAACUGUAUGUCUUGAGUGAAGUAGAGGUAGGCGGAAUUCCGAGUGUAGCGGUAAAAUGCGUAGAUAUUCGGAGGAACACCGGUGGCGAAGGCGGCCUACUGGGCUUUAACUGACGCUGAGGCUCGAAAGUGUGGGGAGCAAAC
rnacentral:rRNA from 1 species